AGCCCAGAGCCUGAAUCAGUGUGUGUGUUAGUGGAAGCGUCUGGAAAGGCGCGCGAUACAGGGUGACAGCCCCGUACACAAAAAUGCACAUGCUGUGAGCUCGAUGAGUAGGGCGGGACACGUGGUAUCCUGUCUGAAUAUGGGGGGACCAUCCUCCAAGGCUAAAUACUCCUGACUGACCGAUAGUGAACCAGUACCGUGAGGGAAAGGCGAAAAGAACCCCGGCGAGGGGAGUGAAAAAGAACCUGAAACCGUGUACGUACAAGCAGUGGGAGCACGCUUAGGCGUGUGACUGCGUACCUUUUGUAUAAUGGGUCAGCGACUUAUAUUCUGUAGCAAGGUUAACCGAAUAGGGGAGCCGAAGGGAAACCGAGUCUUAACUGGGCGUUAAGUUGCAGGGUAUAGACCCGAAACCCGGUGAUCUAGCCAUGGGCAGGUUGAAGGUUGGGUAACACUAACUGGAGGACCGAACCGACUAAUGUUGAAAAAUUAGCGGAUGACUUGUGGCUGGGGGUGAAAGGCCAAUCAAACCGGGAGAUAGCUGGUUCUCCCCGAAAGCUAUUUAGGUAGCGCCUCGUGAACUCAUCUCCGGGGGUAGAGCACUGUUUCGGCAAGGGGGUCAUCCCGACUUACCAACCCGAUGCAAACUGCGAAUACCGGAGAAUGUUAUCACGGGAGACACACGGCGGGUGCUAACGUCCGUCGUGAAGAGGGAAACAACCCAGACCGCCAGCUAAGGUCCCAAAGUCAUGGUUAAGUGGGAAACGAUGUGGGAAGGCCCAGACAGCCAGGAUGUUGGCUUAGAAGCAGCCAUCAUUUAAAGAAAGCGUAAUAGCUCACUGGUCGAGUCGGCCUGCGCGGAAGAUGUAACGGGGCUAAACCAUGCACCGAAGCUGCGGCAGCGACACUGUGUGUUGUUGGGUAGGGGAGCGUUCUGUAAGCCUGUGAAGGUGUACUGUGAGGUAUGCUGGAGGUAUCAGAAGUGCGAAUGCUGACAUAAGUAACGAUAAAGCGGGUGAAAAGCCCGCUCGCCGGAAGAC
rnacentral:rRNA from 1 species